CCCUUAGAUGUUCUGGGCCGCACGCGCGCUACACUGAUGCAUUCAACGAGCCUAUCCUUGACCGACAGGUCCGGUUAAUCUUUGAAUCUGCAUCGUGACGGGGAUAGAUUAUUGCAAUUAUUAAUCUUCAACGAGGAAUGCCUAGUAGGCGCAAGUCAUCAGCUUGCGUCGAUUACGUCCCUGCCCUUUGUACACACCGCCCGUCGCUCCUACCGAUUGGGUGUGCUGGUGAAAUGUUCGGAUCGGCCGUUUGUCGCGGUUUCCGCGUCAUGUGGCUGAGAAGUUCAUUAAACCCUCCCACCUAGAGGAAGGAGAAGUCGUAACA
rnacentral:rRNA from 1 species